CCUACGGGGGGCAGCAGUCGAGAAUCAUUCACAAUGGGGGAAACCCUGAUGGUGCGACGCCGCGUGGGGGAAUGAAGGUCUUCGGAUUGUAAACCCCUGUCAUGUGGGAGCAAAUUAAAAAGAUAGUACCACAAGAGGAAGAGACGGCUAACUCUGUGUCAGCAGCCGCGGUAAUACAGAGGUCUCAAGCGUUGUUCGGAAUCACUGGGCGUAAAGCGUGCGUAGGCUGUUUCGUAAGUCGUGUGUGAAAGUCGCGGGCUCAACCCGCGGACGGCACAUGAUACUGCGAGACUAGAGUACUGGAGGGGGAACCGGAAUUCUCGGUGUAGCAGUGAAAUGCGUAGAUAUCGAGAGGAACACUCGUGGCGAAGGCGGGUUCCUGGACAUUAACUGACGCUGAGGCACGAAGGCCAGGGGAGCGAAAGGGAUUAGAUACCCUUGUAGUC
rnacentral:rRNA from 1 species